CAGUCGGACGGUAGCACAGAGGAGCUUGCUCCUCGGGUGACGAGUGGCGGACGGGUGAGUAAUGUCUGGGGAUCUGCCCGAUAGAGGGGGAUAACCACUGGAAACGGUGGCUAAUACCGCAUAACGUCGCAAGACCAAAGAGGGGGACCUUCGGGCCUCUCACUAUCGGAUGAACCCAGAUGGGAUUAGCUAGUAGGCGGGGUAACGGCCCACCUAGGCGACGAUCCCUAGCUGGUCUGAGAGGAUGACCAGCCACACUGGAACUGAGACACGGUCCAGACUCCUACGGGAGGCAGCAGUGGGGAAUAUUGCACAAUGGGCGCAAGCCUGAUGCACCCAUGCCGCGUGUAUGAAGAAGGCCUUCGGGUUGUAAAGUACUUUCAGCGGGGAGGAAGGCGAUGUGGUU
rnacentral:rRNA from 1 species